rnacentral:snRNA from 1 species
AAAACUUUUUCGAAAGAAAAAAAUCUUUCUUAUCAGUUUAAUAUCUGAUACGUCCCCCAUCCGGGGGACUACAUAUUAAAUGGAUUUUUAGGAUCACGGAGCUGGAGCCGGGGCUUGCUCCGUCCACUCCAUGCAUCGGCCUGGUAUUGCAGUGUCUCCAGGAACGGUGUGCUUUCC